rnacentral:rRNA from 1 species
UACGUAGGGGGCAAGCGUUGUCCGGAAUCAUUGGGCGUAAAGAGCGUGUAGGCGGCUCGAUAAGUCCGCUGUGAAAGUCCAGGGCUCAACCCUGGAAGGCCGGUGGAAACUGUCGGGCUAGAGUCCGGAAGAGGCGAGUGGAAUUCCCGGUGUAGCGGUGAAAUGCGCAGAUAUCAGGAGGAACACCGGUGGCGAAGGCGGGUCUCUGGGCCGAUACUGACGCUGAGGAGCGAAAGCGUGGGGGAGCGAACAGG